GACGAACCGUGCGAACGUUGUUCGGAAUCACUGGGCUUAAAGGGCGCGUAGGCGGCUUCGCAAGUCCGGGGUGAAAGCCCCCAGCUUAACUGGGGAAGUGCCUCGGAUACUGCGGAGCUCGAGCGAGGUAGGGGCAGCGGGAACUUCCGGUGGAGCGGUGAAAUGCGUUGAUAUCGGAAGGAACGCCGGUGGCGAAAGCGCGCUGCUGGACCUCUUCUGACGCUGAGGCGCGAAAGCCAGGGGAGCAAACGGG
rnacentral:rRNA from 1 species